rnacentral:rRNA from 1 species
UGAAUACGAGACGCUAAGGCGUCGAAGUAGUGUAUGUCAUACUUCCAGGAAAAGCUUGCACUGUCAUAAGUAAAAAAUGCCUGUACCAUAACCGACACAGGUGGGUAGGUAGAGUAUACUAAGGGGCGCGAGAUAACUCUCUCUAAGGAACUCGGCAAAAUAACUCCGUAACUUCGGGAGAAGGAGUACCUUAUUCUAUAAGGUUGCAAUAACAAGAUCCAAGCAACUGUUUAUCAAAAACACAGGUCUCCGCUAAGUCGUAAGACGAUGUAUGGGGGCUGACGCCUGCCCAGUGCCAGAAGGUUAAAGAAGUCGGUUAGCAUUAGCGAAGCUGGUAACUGAAGCCCUGGUGAACGGCGGCCGUAACAAUAACGGUCCUAAGGUAGCGAAAUUCCUUGUCGGGUAAGUUCCGACCCGCACGAAAGGCGUAAUGAUUUGGAUACUGUCUCGGAGAGGGGCUCGGUGAAAUAGACUUGUCUGUGAAGAUGCGGACUACCUGCACCAGGACAGAAAGACCCUAUGAAGCUUUACUGUAACUUGAAAUUGAAAUUGGACUUUAUUCGCGCAGUAUAGGUGGGAGGUGUUGAUUAUAAUCUUGCGGGAUUAUUGGAGCCAUCAGUGAGAUACCACUCUUGUAAUGUUAGAUUUCUAACUUUGAAUCAUUAUCUGGUCAAAGGACAGUUUCAGGCGGGCAGUUUGACUGGGGCGGUCGCCUCCCAAACGGUAACGGAGGCGUACAAAGGUUUCCUCUGAACGGGUAGAAAUCGUAUCUAGAGUGUAAAGGCAUAAGGAAGCUUGACUGUGAGACCUACAAGUCGAACAGGGACGAAAGUCGGUCUUAGUGAUCUGACGGUACUGAGUGGAAAGGCCGUCACUCAACGGAUAAAAGUUACUCUAGGAUAACAGGCUGAUCUCCCCCAAGAGUUCACAUCGACGGGGAGGUUUGGCACCUCGAUGUCGGCUCAUCGCAUCCUGGGGCGGUAGUACGUCCCAAGGGUUGGGCUGUUCGCCCAUGAAAGCGGUACGCGAGCUGGGUUCAGAACGUCGUGAGACAGUUCGGUCCAUAUCCGGUGUAGGCGUUAGAAUAUUGAGAGGAGCCUUCUUUAGUACGAGAGGACCGAGAAGGACAUACCUCUGAUGUACCAGUUAUCGUGCCAACGGUAAACGCUGGGUAGCUAUGUAUGGAGUGGAUAACCGCUGAAAGCAUCUAAGUGGGAAGCCCACCUCAAGAUAAGUAUUCUCAUC